rnacentral:rRNA from 1 species
UGGGGAAUUUUGGACAAUGGGCGCAAGCCUGAUCCAGCCAUGCCGCGUGCAGGAUGAAGGCCUUCGGGUUGUAAACUGCUUUUGUACGGAACGAAAAGCCCUUCUCUAAUACAGAGGGGUCAUGACGGUACGGUAAGAAUAAGCACCGGCUAACUACGUGCCAGCAGCCGCGGUAAUACGUAGGGUGCGAGCGUUAAUCGGAAUUACUGGGCGUAAAGCGUGCGCAGGCGGUUAUGUAAGACAGUUGUGAAAUCCCCGGGCUCAACCUGGGAAUUGCAUCUGUGACUGCAUAGCUAGAGUACGGUAGAGGGGGAUGGAAUUCCGCGUGUAGCAGUGAAAUGCGUAGAUAUGCGGAGGAACACCGAUGGCGAAGGCAAUCCCCUGGACCUGUACUGACGCUCAUGCACGAAAGCGUGGGGAGCAAACC